GGAGAGGUGUCCGAGUGGUUGAUGGUGCCGCUCUCGAAAAGCGGUAGGGCGCGAGUCCUCGUGGGUUCGAAUCCCACCCUCUCCGCCC
rnacentral:tRNA from 1 species